UACGGGGGGGGGCAAGCGUUGUUCGGAAUUACUGGGCGUAAAGGCUCGUAGGCGGCCAACUAAGUCGGAUGUGAAAUCCCCAGGCUUAACCUGGGAACUGCAUCCGAUACUGGAUGGCUUGAAUCCGGGAGAGGGAUGCAGAAUUCCAGGUGUAGCGGUGAAAUGCGUAGAUAUCUGGAGGAAUACCAGUGGCGAAGGCGACUUACUGGACGACUGUUGACACUGAGGUGCGAAAGCGUGGGGAGCAAACAGG
rnacentral:rRNA from 1 species